CCUACGGGUGGCAGCAGUGGGGGAUAUUGCACAAUGGGGGAAACCCUGAUGCAGCGACGCCGCGUGAGUGAAGAAGUAUUUCGGUAUGUAAAGCUCUAUCAGCAGGGAAGAAAAUGACAGUACCUGACGAAGAAGCCCCGGCUAACUACGUGCCAGCAGCCUCGGUAAUACGUAGGGGGCAAGCGUUAUCCGGAUUUACUGGGUGUAAAGGGAGCGUAGACGGUUAUGUAAGUCUGGUGUGAAAGCCCGGGGCCGAACCCCGGGACUGCAUUGGAAACUGUGUAACUGGAGUACAGGAGGGGGAGGCGGAAUUCCUGGUGUAGCGGUGAAAUGCGUAGAUAUCAGGAGGAACAUCGGAGGCGAAGGCGCUUUACUGGGCAUUAAUUGACGCUGAGGAGCGAAAGCCGGGGUAGCAAAUGGGAUUAGAUACCCGGGUAGUC
rnacentral:rRNA from 1 species